AGUUAGCAUGGGAAGACGAGAGAACAAAUGCACGUUGGAAGCUGGAGGUAACUGCAGAGGCUAUUGCAUCUAAUGGAGGCACUAUAACAACAUCUAGCCAGCCAUGCAUGCUAAGCUUCAGAAGUCUAGCUGUUCGAUUGAUGCGGACAUGUCUAAUGGAAAUACUGAGGCCAUUAGAGUGAGGUUAAAAUCGAGGACUGGGACAACUGAUCAACCACAAAUAUAUGCGGCAAAGAUUUUCAUGAGCUCUCAGCUUCCAAGGAGAAAAGAAUUGUGGACCAACCUUCUGAAGCUGGGGAGGAUAUGGAGGAUACUUACAAAAAGGAUGGAGAGAUCUCUGAUGACAUGCCUAAAAUCAUCAAGACAUGAAGUGAGUGGAGGAGCAAGAGGAAGGCUCCAUUACCAGACAUACAUUUGCCAGAGCUUAUUGAUGAGGGUUUAGCUUGAAGCAAUGCAGGAGAGACAAAAAGUAGUUAUUGAGGAUUGCGGUGACUGAAGCCUUCAAAUCUUCAGAAUGUGUUGAUGGUUAAGUUGUUUUACAACCAUCAAGAGAUAUGUCACGCGUACAACUAAAUGAUCAACUUGUAUUUGAAUGUUGCUGCUAUUGUUAAGUAUUAUUCCAUACUAAAUGCUAGUUUUUCUAUUAAAAAAGUGUUUUCUUUUCUG